rnacentral:rRNA from 1 species
CCUACGGGAGGCAGCAGUGAGGAAUAUUGGUCAAUGGGCGCUAGCCUGAACCAGCCACGUAGCGUGAAGGAUGACUGCCCUAUGGGUUGUAAACUUCUUUUAUAUGGGAAUAAAGUGCAGUAUGUAUACUGCUUUGCAUGUACCUUAUGAAUAAGGAUCGGCUAACUCCGUGCCAGCAGCCGCGGUAAUACGGAGGAUCCGAGCGUUAUCCGGAUUUAUUGGGGUUAAAGGGAGCGUAGGCGGGUUGUUAAGUCAGUUGUGAAAGUUUGCGGCUCAACCUUAAAAUUGCAGUUGAUACUGGUAUCCUUGAGUACAGUAGAGGUAGGCGGAAUUCGGGGUGUAGCGGUGAAAUGCUUAGAUAUCACGAAGAACUCCGAUUGCGAAGGCAGCCUGCUGGACUGUAACUGACGCUGAUGCUCGAAAGUGUGGGUAGCAAACAGGAUUAGAUACCCGAGUAGUC